CUACGGGUGGCUGCAGUGGGGAAUAUUGGGCAAUGGGCGCAAGCCUGACCCAGCAACGCCGCGUGAGGGAAGAAGGUUUUCGGAUUGUAAACCUCUGUCCUUGGGGACGAAGAAGUGACGGUACCCAAGGAGGAAGCCCCGGCUAACUACGUGCCAGCAGCCGCGGUAAUACGUAGGGAGCAAGCGUUGUCCGGAAUUACUGGGCGUAAAGGGUGCGUAGGCGGCAUAUUAAGUCAGGUGUGAAAUACUCGGGCUCAACCCGAGGGGUGCAUUUGAAACUGAUAAGCUUGAGUGUGAGAGAGGAAAGUGGAAUUCCUAGUGUAGCGGUGGAAUGCGUAGAUAUUAGGAGGAACACCAGUGGCGAAGGCGACUUUCUGGCUCAUAACUGACGCUGAGGCACGAAAGCGUGGGGAGCAAACAGGAUUAGAUACCCUUGUAGUC
rnacentral:rRNA from 1 species